rnacentral:lncRNA from 1 species
AAUUCUUUCACCAUCUAAUCUGAAGUUCUCUAAAGACUAACUGACUUCACAGGUGCCAUACACUUGUGUAUCAUUACCUCAGCUGCCCUGGAAGCUGAGAUAAUAAUGGGACAGACAGCUUUCAAAGAAGUAAAUGGGCUUAAGAAUUAGUUAGCAGCUGAAGAAAAGAAUCCUAUACAGAAAUACAGAUGAAGAUGCCCAGAAGACACUACAUGUAACACUGCCAGCAGGAAAAUCCAGAAAUGGAUCUGGUUCUAGAGGUUCAUGGGCCUCCUGUUGUCUUCUCCCUUUGAACCCGCUCUGAAAUUUAGUUCUUUCUCUCAGUGAAAGCCAGGCAGGUGUCAGCAUUGCUUCUGAAGAGAAAAGAGAACAGAGGAAAGCUCAUGUGCGUUUGACUAAUGUGACCUUUGAUGUGACUGUAAGGAGAAAAGAAGUGAGGAAGAUGACUAGAAGGAAAAAGCAAGAAUGUAAGACAGCUCUUCCUGCAGCUUCUUUCAUAUUUUAUUAUAUUAGGAGAAAUGCCCAAUCCCUCUAUUAAAAUUAAUGUAUGAAUCCCAGUCACUAAAAUGCUUGUGGUACUUUGAAGUUUGACUUGAUUAAUAUGACCGUAAUUUCCAUGAAAG